CCUACGGGAGGCUGCAGUGGGGAAUAUUGCACAAUGGGCGCAAGCCUGAUGCAGCCAUGCCGCGUGUGUGAAGAAGGCCUUCGGGUUGUAAAGCACUUUCAGCGGGGAGGAAGGCGUUAAGGUUAAUAACCUUGUCGAUUGACGUUACCCGCAGAAGAAGCACCGGCUAACUCCGUGCCAGCAGCCGCGGUAAUACGGAGGGUGCAAGCGUUAAUCGGAAUUACUGGGCGUAAAGCGCACGCAGGCGGUCUGUCAAGUCGGAUGUGAAAUCCCCGGGCUCAACCUGGGAACUGCAUUCGAAACUGGCAGGCUAGAGUCUGGUAGAGGGUGGUAGAAUUCCAGGUGUAGCGGUGAAAUGCGUAGAGAUCUGGAGGAAUACCGGUGGCGAAGGCGGCCCCCUGGACAAAGACUGACGCUCAGGUGCGAAAGCGUGGGGAGCAAACAGGAUUAGAUACCCGUGUAGUC
rnacentral:rRNA from 1 species